rnacentral:rRNA from 1 species
AGCGAACGCUGGCGGCAGGCCUAACACAUGCAAGUCGAACGAAGCCUUCGGACUUAGUGGCGGACGGGUGAGUAACACGUGGGAACGUACCUUUUGGUUCGGAACAACUCAGGGAAACUUGAGCUAAUGCCGGAUGAGCCCUUAGGGGGAAAGAUUUAUCGCCGAAAGAGCGGCCCGCGUUAGAUUAGCUAGUUGGUGAGGUAAAGGCUCACCAAGGCUACGAACUAUAGCUGGUCUGAGAGGAUGAUCAGCCACACUGGGACUGAGACACGGCCCAGACUCCUACGGGAGGCAGCAGUGGGGAAUCUUGCGCAAUGGGCGAAAGCCUGACGCAGCCAUGCCGCGUGAAUGAUGAAGGUCUUAGGAUUGUAAAAUUCUUUUACCAGGGACGAUAAUGACGGUACCUGGAGAAGAAGCCCCGGCUAACUUCGUGCCAGCCGCCGCAGUAACAC